AGAACUAUACAUGCCACAAAUCCUCCGUCAGUAAAUUAAUUUGGAAAGAUUCGUUUCAAGUUAUUCUGCUUAUUGCUUUAUUUUUGAUCAGUUUGUUGAAAAUUACAAUUUUUUUAAUUGAUUUUAAACAGCUGACAAAUCGAAAACUAUAGGUAAAAAGUGAAUUUUUUUAAAAUAGGCGUAAAGUUCUUACUUCCGACCAUAAGCACUAUGGGAAAUAUAUUUGUUCUAAGUUAUAAGGGAAAAAUCUCAGUUGACUUACGUACAACGAGAGAUAAGAGUGUUGUCACUUGAUUGUUGGUAUGCCGAGAAAUAUUUUCUUUAUGUCGGCCUCUGGAUCGAUUCAAGGCAAAUACCAACGCAGACGGAAUUACAACUCGUACAGGAAAGAAACGUGAACUGAUUACCACCGAGUAUCUUGUCUAACUGUCUACACAAUCUACCAACAACACGCGCGCUCGUAUACCAACAGAGGAAUGCGUACAUGUGUUAAUAUUGGAAUUGUUAAUUUUUAAAAUGUAUUAAUAGGUCUUAGUACUUUUAGGAGAUAAAUUUAUUAUAAAUAUUGCGUGAACACGGUCCUUAAAAUCCCUGCUUAGCAGCAUAUUUAACUCGUUCGUUUCAACAAAUCGCUCCAAACGGAACUUGAUCAUCAGUUUCUAUUUUGCAUAAUAUGCACUCAUGUAUGCAUGCAAGCAAGCAAGGAAGCACACACACACACACGUGAGUGUAUGUGUGUUUGAAAAAAUACAUAGGCGCAGGAGUGGCUGGGUAGUAAGUAGCUUGCUUACCAACCACUUGCUUCUGGGUUCAAUCCCACCGCGUAGCACCUUGGGCAAGUGUCUUCUACUAUAGCCUCGGGCCGACCAAAGCCUUGUGUGUGAACUUGGUAGACGGAAACUGAAAGAAGCCCGUCGUAUAUAUAUGUGUGUGUGUGUGUGUGUCCCCCACCAUCGCUUGAUAGCCUAUGUUGGUGUGUUUACUUCUCUGAAACAUAGCGGUUCGGCAAAAGAGACAAUAGAAUAAGUACUGGGCUUACAAAGAAUAAGUACUUGGGACGAUUUCCUCGACGAAAGGCGGUGCUCCAGCAUGGCCGCAGUCAAAUGACGGCAACAAAAAGAAUAUAUAUAUAUAUAAUAUUGCUUCCCAACCAUGUGGUUCCGGGUUCAGUUUCACUGCGUGGCACCUUGAACAAAUAUCAACUGUAGCCUCGGGUCGACCAAAUCUUUAUGAGUGGAUUUAGGUGAAACAAAGAAGCUCGUUACACACACGCGCACACGUAUGUAUGUUUACGGCCCCUUUACCUAGCGGUUCGGCAAAAGGAUACCGACAGAAUAAAUAUCCGGCUAAAACAAAAAAUACUGUGUUCGAUUCGUUCGACCAAAAUUCCUUGAAGGCACUGCUCCAGCCUGUCGCAGUUUAAUGACUGAAACAAGUAAAAGAUAUACGAGAGAUAGCGAGAAACAGGCAAAGUUGUUUGGAAUCUUUUCGAAUGGCCUGCAUCCAGUUCGUGCGGCGUAAAAAUUACUUUAAUGCUAUUAGUCUUCGUGAAAUAUUUUGCUAAGUACACGUCCAUUUAAAAAGUUUCAUUGAUACAACUGACUACACUACACUGAAACUGACAGGUGUUCACACACGCACGCAUGCAUGCGCUCGCACGUAAAAGUAUGUAUUUGUAAAUACACACGCGCGCAGUGUGGGUGGUGGUGAAGACGUAUAGCCUAGUGGUAAACGUGUUGCACUCACGAUCGCUGUAGUCAACUCAGCUGAAAAUGGUUACGCCUACAACGGAAUAGCCUUCCGAUCAGGGGAAAUGUUGACCUGUCCGCCCGGCCAGCGAUGUGGCAUCAUUCGAAAGCUAAAACUAUUCGAGGAGCAUUGUGACCAGCGAUGUAUAAUAAUAACCAAUAGUCUGGUCAAUAGCGUGAUUUGAUAUAUAUAUAUAUAUAUAUAUAUAUAUAUAUAAGGUUAUGAAGGGUAUUGGAUUCAACCAAACCCAGAGAUACAGGUAAUACCGAGUAAGUGGUGUAUACCGGCUAGUUUUUCCCCUGUCGUUGUAUAAACAUGAGUGGGGAAUAUAACAUAGGUCAUGUAUUAGCGUGUGUAUGUAUAAAGAGAGAAAAGGAUAAAGAGACCAAUGGCAAAGUUAGAAAUAUAUUUUAUGGAUAAAGUCUUACAGCUAUUUCUAACUUUGCCAUUGGUCUCUGUAUCCUUUUCUCUGUUUUAUAUAUAUAUAUAUAUAUAUAUAUAUAUAUAUAUAUAUAUAUAUAUAUAUAUAUAUAUAUAUACACACACACACACACAUAAACAAGUGUACAUCUCUAUAUACACACACAUACAUACAUACACACACAUAACACUUACAUGUAAUUAGUUACAACACAUGCGACAUAAAGGAAACAACGUAACACGAAAAAAAAAAAUCACUUCUAAAAAUUAGUUACCUAACAUCCGUUUUAUAUUUAUUUUCACACGCAUUUGAUUUCAUUUUCCACUUCAGCUUUAAUUUUCUGCUAUUCUCUAAAUAUGUUCGGUGAGACCGACAUAAAAUCGGAUAAAUCCACUGAAGUUGAGGCUUAUUUCUCAAAAAAGAAAAGGAAGUUGGCGGAGUGGUGAAGUCUGUAAAACGACAUAUGCGCACAAGCGUGAAUGUCUUUACUCAACUUUAGAAAGCCGUGAAUAAGUAUUAUUUUGUCAAAUGGACUAUUCAGUUUCUGUGUAAAGCAUAUAACUACUUGUUACGGAUGCGGCUCAUAGCCAUGUGAUGUAUUAUCCCACCUACCCCUAUUAUCAUGAAAAAAAAAAGGAACUGAAGUCUUUAGUAUUCAAAACGUCCGUAUAUGAUCUGUACAUGUCCGUGGAAACUUUAUUCAAUACCGUACAACAUAUAAGUUGGUGCAUUUGCAAAGCGUAUCGUUUCCGAGGUUCUGUAUCACUUAAGAAGACUUGUACAGUAAGUAUUUUUCUAGCAUUUUUAAAUUUCAAUCAGACGACCUGCCAACCACUAUGUAGAAUAGUAUGAAAAUUAAAGGAACCACAUGCUGUGUAUUAAAUCUGACAUAAAAUAGUGAAUAAACACGAAACUCACUCUCUCUCACACACACACACACACACACAUUCAGUUUUGUAAUUGUAGAACACUCAAAACAAGGUGGCUAACAUUGAAUUUAACUCAUAUAUACACAAAGUGUAUAUAUAUACAUAUAUGUAUAUAAAUAUACACACGGAGAGAGAGAGAGGGCAGAGAAAGAUACUUUUGAUAAUUUAGGAUCGACAUCUUGGUAAAAAUUAUCAGAAAUAAAUAUGAAGCUAUUCAAGAAAUAUCACGUUUAUAAAUAUUUCUUUAAAUUCACAGAAACGUCAAAAUAAACGUUAGACAAAGGACUUUAUAAUGUCGAGGCUAUGCCAUACACAAUUAUUAUCUCGCAAUAAGAAAUUGUGUUUAGUUUACAAAUGGAUAAGCAAGUGCCCUAAAUAAAUUUAACCAAGCAAAACUCAAAGGUAAAAAAAAUGCAAGAGAAAAUCCAUCCUGGUUCACUUUGCCGCAGGAAAAUGAAAAUCAGCACUGAAUUACUUUGCAUAAUACAAGGGCCAUGAGAAAAGGUUUAAACAAUAUUUUUCUUAUUUAAAAAUAUACAGUAACUGCAGUAUUCGUAUUAUAAUUAAUAAAUUACAACAACAAAAAUGGCGUAAUCACUUACCAAGACUUCCACUUUUCAGAUAUUGGCAUGCUAUAAAAAUGUUUGCAUUACACAUGCGCAUUAGCACGACUUCUGACGUGGACACACUUAACACCUCAAAUCAUGAUUCAUAUCACCAUAUAUAUAUAUAUAUAUGUAUAUAUAUAUAUCUAUAUAAUAUACACACACACACACACACACACACACACAUAUAUAUAUAUAUUUGUGUGGAUGAACAGUCGUUAGCGCGCACACACGCACACACAUUAUGUGUGUAUGCUAAACAUUAAUGGAUGCGUCUAUGCAUAAUUCGGUUCUUUAAACACAUAUUCAGUAAAGAAAAUUAGCAGGUCUUCCUGUUAGAUAAAAUAUCGAUCUAAAACCUGGAAAAUUGAAUAGAUCUUAAUUUAUAAAUUCUCUCACGUCGUAAAGACGUCCCCGCCCUAAAACGCCCAGCAUUUUGAAAUACUGUGUUUCUUUGAACUCUGUUGUUAUUUAGCCCCAAUUCAGUUCUGCUUGAUCAGGCCUAUGAUAAAUGGCGUCCCAUAUGCGACCUUCUCGCCUUUUUUCGUGAAUUGCGGCUUCUGCUUAGACUCUGCCCAGCUCUGUUAAAUCGAGCUUUUGAUUAAGCGGCAUUGCAUCCUUAUCCAUUCUACUUCUCAGACGAACCCAGAACAACGCUGUUUUCUAUGUCCUUUAGAUGAAGCUCUAAAGCGAUAAAUACUGGGAAGUGUGAGAGGAGAAAAAUAAUUCACAUCCCCGAGAUAAGCUGCUAGAAAAUAUCUAAUACAUAGUAACUUGUUUAUCUUAUCCCUCUCAUCACAUUCUGUCUGUCUCCUUCUCUCUCUCUCCCUCACUUACACACAGAGUUCCCCACUUGUUUUGUUUUCACAGAAAAUUCUAAAAUGUGUAUGUCAACAUGCCGAGUAAAUUAAGAUUGUUUGCUAAGAUUAUUUCAAUUAACAACUCUGAUAUUAAAUCCAAUUGAUCGUGAACCGAAUCUCCCAUAAAAGCAAUUCCACUUGGUUUAUACUGCUAAUGCCCAUGGAAAAGGCUUGGAAGUCAUAGUAACCCCCUCCCUUCUUGUGUAAAUCAGAUGUCUUGCACCUAACCAAAAAGAAGUUGACAUCAUGCAAUAAAUAGGGAACCAAUCAUGAAAUAGAGACGUUUAUUGUGAAAAUCUUUGUCUCAUUCUUUUCUGUUCCGUUUCAUUAGAUUCAAUUUCCUACUCAGAAAUCAACGCAUUCAGCCUCCGAUAGAAAGCGUAUAUUGAUUUUUCUUAUAUUAAAAAGGGAUUCACGGGAUAGAAAUUUUCUAGUGGAUUUUCUUACCGACCAUUCAUUUACUACAAUUUACUACUAUGCAAAUCUGAUAUCUUCGCACAUUUCAAUAAACAACCAAGGUACAACUAACUGUUCUUCGUAUCUCUCAAAUAUCCGGCUGUACAUGCACUGAACUUACGUACCACACCAGGAAGAAGCUUCCCCACUACCCGUAACUGGAAAGCAUCAGCUCCAUUUCAAAACAUAGAAGAUAGCCAGCAAGAAAACAUCGCAUGAUUCAUGAGUUUCCACGUCUCACAAAUUGUAACCUAGCUUUCUGGGUUGAAAAGGGAUUUUUUACUAACUUUAACGAAUCCUCUUAAUUUUAGCAUCUUGGAAUUUGUUACCUAUUUUGCAUUCAGUUCCACUCAAAACACACACACACACACACACACACACACACACAAACUCUUUCUAAGCUACCACUUUUCACACAACUGCAUGCUUCAUACUGUCAAGCACAAAAUUGUUUACUUCACUUUAAUUCAACAAUUAUUAUCGUUAAGAAAUUCAAAUCCAGAAUUUUCAACAUUGAAGAAACAUAUUUCAGUUCGCAAAGAGAUAAAUCGAGAGAGCACUUUUCCUUUCGAGAGCCAUCGCACUUCUGUAUAAAGCUAUAAACACUUAAAAUCAGAAUCUAUAGUCUCACAUAGAGAUGCAAAAUGUCUGCACUAUAGGGAAUGCGAUUUUAUGUAAUUCACCACAACGUUGUCCUUCGUCUUCAGGAGACCAGCAGGUAGAGAUUUUGACACCAAAACUUCGGUUAAUCAAGCAAUGUACAAUUUUAACUUGUGAAGUUUUUUUAUAAUACAUGAGCCACGAAAGCCUUUUUUCGAUCCUGCAUGGAUGGGGCGCCAUCAGUGCGAACGCUAAUAUAAGUUUUCCACUGCAUCCCUCUC